CAGAGGGUGCGAGCGUUAAUCGGAUUUACUGGGCGUAAAGCGUGCGUAGGCGGCUGAUUAAGUCGGAUGUGAAAUCCCUGAGCUUAACUUAGGAAUUGCAUUCGAUACUGGUCAGCUAGAGUAUGGGAGAGGAUGGUAGAAUUCCAGGUGUAGCGGUGAAAUGCGUAGAGAUCUGGAGGAAUACCGAUGGCGAAGGCAGCCAUCUGGCCUAAUACUGACGCUGAGGUACGAAAGCAUGGGGAGCAAACAGGAUU
rnacentral:rRNA from 1 species